rnacentral:rRNA from 1 species
UACGAAGGGGGCUAGCGUUGCUCGGAAUCACUGGGCGUAAAGGGCGCGUAGGCGGCGUUUUUAAGUCGGGGGUGAAAGCCUGUGGCUCAACCACAGAAUGGCCUUCGAUACUGGGGCGCUUGAGUAUGGUAGAGGUUGGUGGAACUGCGAGUGUAGAGGUGAAAUUCGUAGAUAUUCGCAAGAACACCGGUGGCGAAGGCGGCCAACUGGACCAUUACUGACGCUGAGGCGCGAAAGCGUGGGGAGCAAACAGG